UACGUAGGAGGCAAGCGUUGUCCGGAAUUACUGGGUGUAAAGCGCGUGUAGGCGGCAGGCCAAGUCUGUGGUGAAAUCGCUCGGCUCAACUGGGCGGGGUCCAUGGACCUGGUCAGCUGGAGGACGGUAGAGGUGAGUGGAAUUCCGGUGUAGUGGUGAAAUGCGUAGAUAUCGAGAGGAACACCUGCGGCGAAGGCGGGUAGCUGGGCCGACACUGACGCUGAUGCGCGAAAGCCAGGGGAGCGAACGGG
rnacentral:rRNA from 1 species